rnacentral:rRNA from 1 species
AGUGAACGCUGGCGGCGUGCUUAACACAUGCAAGUCGAACGAGAACGGAGUGUAGCUUGCUAUAUUUGUCAGCUAAGUGGCGCACGGGUGAGUAAUGUAUAGAUAACCUGCCCUUAAGAAAGGAAUAACAGUUGGAAACGACUGCUAAUGCCCUAUAUGCCUUUAAUACAUAAGUAUGCAAGGGAAACGCUUUAGUGCUUAAGGAUGGGUCUGUAUGGUAUCAGCUUGUUGGUGAGGUAAUGGCUCACCAAGGCUAUGACGCCUAACUGGUUUGAGAGGAUGAUCAGUCACACUGGAACUGAGACACGGUCCAGACUCCUACGGGAGGCAGCAGUGGGGAAUAUUGCACAAUGGACGAAAGUCUGAUGCAGCAACGCCGCGUGGAGGAUGACACAUUUCGGUGCGUAAACUCCUUUUAUAUAGGAAGAUAAUGACGGUACUAUAUGAAUAAGCACCGGCUAACUCCGUGCCAGCAGCCGCCGUAA